UUAGGAAUAUUGGACAAUGGGCGCAAGCCUGAUCCAGCCAUGCCGCGUGAGUGAUGAAGGCCUUCGGGUUGUAAAGCUCUUUAGCCGACGAAUAUAAUGACUGUAGUCGGAAAAUAAGCCCCGGCUAACUUCGUGCCAGCAGCCGCGGUAAUACGAAGGGGGCGAGCGUUAUUCGGAAUCACUGGGCGUAAAGCGUGCGUAGGCGGUUAUGAAAGUUAGGAGUGAAAGCCCAGGGCUCAACCUUGGAAUAGCUUUUAAAACUACAUGACUAGAAUUCGAUAGAGGAUGGCGGAAUUAUCAGUGUAGCAGUGAAAUGCGUAGAUAUUGAUAGGAACACCAGUGGCGUAAGCGGCCAUCUAGAUCGACAUUGACGCUGAGGUACGAAAGCGUGGGGAGCAAA
rnacentral:rRNA from 1 species